rnacentral:rRNA from 1 species
UACGUAGGGUGCAAGCGUUAAUCGGAAUUACUGGGCGUAAAGCGUGCGCAGGCGGUUUUGUAAGUCUGUCGUGAAAUCCCCGGGCUCAACCUGGGAAUUGCGAUGGAGACUGCAAGGCUAGAGUCUGGCAGAGGGGGGUAGAAUUCCACGUGUAGCAGUGAAAUGCGUAGAGAUGUGGAGGAACACCGAUGGCGAAGGCAGCCCCCUGGGUCAAGAUUGACGCUCAUGCACGAAAGCGUGGGGAGCAAACAGG